AUUGAACGCUGGCGGAAUGCUUUACACAUGCAAGUCGAACGGUAGAGGGGGCAACCCCUCGAGAGUGGCGAACGGGUGAGUAAUAUAUCGGAACGUGCCCAGUCGUGGGGGAUAACGUAGCGAAAGUUACGCUAAUACCGCAUACGAUCUAAGGAUGAAAGCGGGGGAUCGCAAGACCUCGCGCGAUUGGAGCGGCCGAUAUCAGAUUAGGUAGUUGGUGGGGUAAAGGCUCACCAAGCCAACGAUCUGUAGCUGGUCUGAGAGGACGACCAGCCACAGUGGAACUGAGCCACGGUCCAGAGUCGUACGGGAGGCAGCAGUGGGGAAUUUUGGACAAUGGACGCAAGUCUGAUCCAGCCAUUCCGCGUGCAGGAUGAAGGCCCUCGGGUUGUAAACUGCUUUUGUACGGAACGAAAAGGUCUCUCUUAAUACGGGGGGCUCAUGACGGUACCGUAAGAAUAAGCACCGGCUAACUACGUGCCAGCAGCCGCCGUAA
rnacentral:rRNA from 1 species